AGCACUUUUACUGUGCUGACAGAUGUAAGUCCGACGUGCGACACCGCACUGCCAAAGAUGGCUUUGGGAUUAC
rnacentral:ncRNA from 1 species